ACUUAUUACCAGAUUUCGCUAGUGUCGCCUUUGUUGUUGUUACAUCGUGAAACGAAGUUGGGCGAAAUAGUUGGUUGGAUGAUUGCUAAUUUAUACUUAUAUUCCUGUGAUUUCAAGUACCGAAAUUAACUUCAUAUCUUAUAUGCAUACUGUCAUUCAUUCCAACAAGUUGACUUAGCGCUCAGUCAAUUUCCAUCCAAUAGACCCAUAAUGCUGUCCAAACCUAAAACUCAUAAUUGAAGCUCACAUAUAGUGGAAUACAAAUCUGCCGAGUUAAGGACUUUUCUGAAUCUCGCAAUUUUAGCUGUCAAAACCUAAAACUCAUGUUUGCAGCAUGUUUGAAGCUCACAUAUAGUUGAAUACAAAUCUGCCGAGUUAAGGUAUUUACCCAUUCCCACCUGGAACAUCAUGUUUGCUGUGAUGGCUGUUUCUACUUCUGUUUAGAAGGCAUCCCAGCUGAGAGAUAGAGUUUCAGUGACUUGAAGAGUCUGAUGUGAAUAAUGCCGUGUGUAUGCAUACAUGUUCCAGUUCUGGUUGACGCCUUACUAAAUUCAUCACCCAUAUGAUAAAGCAUCAGGAAAUGUAUCUCAACAUGAGGAGUAAGACUGUUUGUUCCUGUGAUUUCCAUUUUUACGGUUUUUUCAUCAUGAAAAUUGAAGUGUGCUUCUUAGAAAUGAGCACACAGUUUCUUUAUGGAAUCGUGUGGUCCUGGCACGGAGAUUCUUG
rnacentral:lncRNA from 1 species